AGCGAACGCUGGCGGCAGGCCUAACACAUGCAAGUCGAACGAAGUCUUCGGACUUAGUGGCGGACGGGUGAGUAACACGUGGGAACGUACCUUUUGGUUCGGAACAACUCAGGGAAACUUGAGCUAAUACCGGAUGAGCCCUUAGGGGGAAAGAUUUAUCGCCGAAAGAGCGGCCCGCGUUAGAGUAGCUAGUUGGUGAGGUAAAGGCUCACCAAGGCUACGAUCUAUAGCUGGUCUGAGAGGAUGGUCAGCCACACUGGGACUGAGACAAGGCCCAGACUCCUACGGGAGCCAGCAGUGGGGAAUUUUUCGCAAUGGGCGAAAGCCUGACGCAGCCAUGCCGCGUGAAUGAUGAAGGUCUUAGGAUUGUAAAAUUCUUUUACCAGGGACGAUAAUGACGGUACCUGGAGAAAAAGCCCCGGCUAACUUCGUGCCAGCAGCCGCGGUAAUAC
rnacentral:rRNA from 1 species